rnacentral:rRNA from 1 species
GGCGGCGUGCUUACACAUGCAAGUCGAACGAGAAAUCUUUAACUUGCUAGAGAAAGUAAAGUGGCGCACGGGUGAGUAACGCGUGGGUAAUCUGCCUCCGAAUCGGGGAUAGGAUUGCGAAAGCGAUGCUAAUACCGGAUAAAAUCUGGUUGGCUUCGGUGAACCGGAUCAAAGGUGGUCUCUUUAUAAAAGCUACCGUUUGGAGAUGAGCUCGCGUACCAUUAGCUAGUUGGUGAGGUAAAGGCUCACCAAUGCGACGAUGGUUAGCUGGUCUGAGAGGAUGAUCAGCCACACCGGAACUGGAAGACGGUCCGGACUCCUACGGGAGGCAGCAGUGAGGAAUUUUGCGCAAUGGGGGAAACCCUGACGCAGCAACGCCGCGUGAGUGAUGAAGGCUUUCGGGUCGUAAAGCUCUGUCAGGUGGGAAGAACCCACCAAGUGUUAAGACCACUUGGUGCUGACGGUACCACCGAAGGAAGCACCGGCUAACUCCGUGCCAGCAGCCGCGGUAAUACGGGGGGUGCGAGCGUUAUUCGGAAUCAUUGGGCGUAAAGGGCGCGCAGGCGGUUUUGUAAGUCAGAUGUGAAAUCCCGGGGCUUAACCCCGGAAGUGCAUAUGAAACUAUGAGACUUGAGUAUGGGAGAGGGAAGCGGAAUUCCUGGUGUAGCGGUGAAAUGCGUAGAUAUCAGGAGGAAUACCGGUGGCGAAGGCGGCUUCCUGGACCAAUACUGACGCUGAGGCGCGAAGGCGUGGGGAGCGAACAGGAUUAGAUACCCUUGGUAGUCCACGCAGUAAACGUUGAUCACUAGGUGUAGCGGGUAUUGACCCCU